rnacentral:rRNA from 1 species
UACGUAGGGUGCAAGCGUUGUCCGGAAUUAUUGGGCGUAAAGAGCGUGUAGGCGGCCAUACAGGUCCGUUGUGAAAACUCGAGGCUCAACCUCGAGACGUCGAUGGAAACCGUAUGGCUAGAGUCCGGAAGAGGAGAGUGGAAUUCCUGGUGUAGCGGUGAAAUGCGCAGAUAUCAGGAAGAACACCCGUGGCGAAGGCGGCUCUCUGGGACGGUACUGACGCUGAGACGCGAAAGCGUGGGGAGCGAACAGG